CGCUGCGCCCGGCUGCGAUGGGAGAGAAGAAGGAGGGCGGUGGCGGGGGUGAUGCGGUGGCGCAGAGGGAGGCGCAGGGGCCGCCGCUAGCCGGGUGCUGCAGCAGUGCGGGCAGCUCCAGAAGUUCAUAGGCAUCUCCAUCGGCAGCCUGCUCGGGCUGCGCACCCAGUGCUCUGUGUCCAACGACCUCACCCAGCAGGAAAUACGGACGAUGGAG
rnacentral:lncRNA from 1 species